GGGGAUUUGGUCUAGGGGAAUGACAUUCGUUUUGCAUUGGCUCAAAUGCAAAAGUCUACGAAAGGUCGGGGGUUCAAUUCCCCCAAUCUCCA